GUCUCAUCAUCCGUAUAUUUUUCUCUCUCUUUUCUCAUGCAGCGGUGUCAUCCUUAGAAGAGUUCAAGAAUUUAACGGACCACUACAAGGCGUCUCAAAAUGUGGAUAAGGAUUUAUUUGUCCAAGAUACCAGACCGGGUUGCCUGACAGCUAUCUAUGAUAGAGCAAGUACAGAUCUUAAGGAUAUAUACGCUAAGUUCAAGGAAUACCACGAAGAUGAAGUGACGGUGAUUAGUAUGCAAGCAAGUAGCUUGCUAGCAGCGGAAUACAAAGCACAGUCGGAAUAUAAUAUCAUCUUUCCAAGG